rnacentral:rRNA from 1 species
UACGAAGGGUGCAAGCGUUAAUCGGAAUUACUGGGCGUAAAGGGUGCGUAGGCGGUUCGUUAAGUCUGUCGUGAAAUCCCCGGGCUCAACCUGGGAAUGGCGAUGGAUACUGGCGAGCUAGAGUGUGUCAGAGGAUGGUGGAAUUCCCGGUGUAGCGGUGAAAUGCGCAGAUAUCAGGAAGAACACCCGUGGCGAAGGCGGCUCUCUGGGACGGUACUGACGCUGAGACGCGAAAGCGUGGGGAGCGAACAGG